AUGAUUUCUUUUCCAUUUAAUUUUGUAUUUGGAGAAAUUGUGUAUAUAUAUAUAUACACACAAUUUCUCCAAAUUGGUGCCUUCGGAGCCAGUGGCAUUAGCCUAGCUAAUUGGUGCCUUCGGAGCACGAUAACAAUUGGAAGUGGUUCAUGGGGGCGGUAG
rnacentral:rRNA from 1 species